UGCACCGGUGAUUAGUGGCGAACGGGUGAGUAACACGUGAGUAACCUGCCCUUGACUCUGGGAUAAGCCUGGGAAACUGGGUCUAAUACCGGAUAUGACUCCUCAUCGCAUGGUGGGGGGUGGAAAGCUUUUUGUGGUUUUGGAUGGACUCGCGGCCUAUCAGCUUGUUGGUGAGGUAAUGGCUCACCAAGGCGACGACGGGUAGCCGGCCUGAGAGGGUGACCGGCCACACUGGGACUGAGACACGGCCCAGACUCCUACGGGAGGCAGCAGUGGGGAAUAUUGCACAAUGGGCGAAAGCCUGAUGCAGCGACGCCGCGUGAGGGAUGACGGCCUUCGGGUUGUAAACCUCUUUCAGUAGGGAAGAAGCGAAAGUGACGGUACCUGCAGAAGAAGCGCCGGCUAACUACGUGCCAGCAGCCGCGGUAAUACGUAGGGCGCAAGCGUUAUCCGGAAUUAUUGGGCGUAAAGAGCUCGUAGGCGGUUUGUCGCGUCUGCCGUGAAAGUCCGGGGCUCAACUCCGGAUCUGCGGUGGGUACGGGCAGACUAGAGUGAUGUAGGGGAGACUGGAAUUCCUGGUGUAGCGGUGAAAUGCGCAGAUAUCAGGAGGAACACCGAUGGCGAAGGCAGGUCUCUGGGCAUUAACUGACGCUGAGGAGCGAAAGCAUGGGGAGCGAACAGGAUUAGAUACCCUGGUAGUCCAUGCCGUAAACGUUGGGCACUAGGUGUGGGGGACAUUCCACGUUUUCCGCGCCGUAGCUAACGCAUUAAGUGCCCCGCCUGGGGAGUACGGCCGCAAGGCUAAAACUCAAAGGAAUUGACGGGGGCCCGCACAAGCGGCGGAGCAUGCGGAUUAAUUCGAUGCAACGCGAAGAACCUUACCAAGGCUUGACAUGAACCGGAAACGUCUGGAAACAGGCGCCCCACUUGUGGUCGGUUUACAGGUGGUGCAUGGUUGUCGUCAGCUCGUGUCGUGAGAUGUUGGGUUAAGUCCCGCAACGAGCGCAACCCUCGUUCCAUGUUGCCAGCGCGUAAUGGCGGGGACUCAUGGGAGACUGCCGGGGUCAACUCGGAGGAAGGUGGGGACGACGUCAAAUCAUCAUGCCCCUUAUGUCUUGGGCUUCACGCAUGCUACAAUGGCCGGUACAAAGGGUUGCGAUACUGUGAGGUGGAGCUAAUCCCAAAAAGCCGGUCUCAGUUCGGAUUGGGGUCUGCUACUCGA
rnacentral:rRNA from 1 species